rnacentral:rRNA from 1 species
UAAGGAACUCGGCGAAAUUACCUCGUAACUUCGGAAGAAGAGGUACCCCUUCACGGGGGUUGCAAUAGAUUGACCCUGGCGACUGUUUACCAAAAACACAGGUCUCCGCAAAUUCGUAAGAAAAAGUAUGGGGGCUGACGCCUGCCCAGUGCCGGAAGGUUAAAGAAGUUGGUUAGUCCUUGGACAAAGCUAGCGACUGAAGCCCCGGUGAACGGCGGCCGUAACAAUAACGGUCCUAAGGUAGCGAAAUUCCUUGUCGGGUAAGUUCCGACCCGCACGAAAGGCGUAACGAUCAGGGUACUGUCUCGGAGAGAGGCUCGGCGAAAUAGACAUGUCUGUGAAGAUGCGGACUACCUGCACCUGGACAGAAAGACCCUAUGAAGCUUUACUGUAUCUUGGAAUUGGGUUUGGUCUUUGCAUGCGCAGGAUAGGUGGGAGGCUUUGAAGAUGAUCUUGCGGGGUCGUUGGAGCCACUGGUGAGAUACCACCCUUGCAAUGAUAAAAUCCUAACUUUGAACCGUUAUCCGGUCAAAGAACAGUUUCAGGUGGGCAGUUUGACUGGGGCGGUCGCCUCCUAAAAGGUAACGGAGGCGUGCAAAGGUUCCCUCAGGCUGGUUGGACAUCAGUCGUAGAGUGUAAAGGCAUAAGGGAGCUUGACUGCGAGACCAACAAGUCGAGCAGAGACGAAAGUCGGCCUUAGUGAUCCGGCGCUUCCGAGUGGAAGGGGCGUCGCUCAACGGAUAAAAGUUACUCUAGGAUAACAGGCUGAUCUCCCCCAAGAGUUCACAUCGACGGGGAGGUUUGGCACCUCGAUGUCGGCUCAUCGCAUCCUGGGGCGGUAGUACGUCCCAAGGGUUGGGCUGUUCGCCCAUGAAAGCGGUACGCGAGCUGGGUUCAGAACGUCGUGAGACAGUUCGGUCCAUAUCCGGUGCAGGCGUUAGAGUAUUGCGAAGACUCCUCCUUAGUACGAGAGGACCGGGGGGAAUGCACCGCUGGUGUACCAGUUAUCGUGCCAACGGUAAACGCUGGGUAGCCAAGUGCAGUUUGGAUAACUGCUGAAAGCAUCUAAGUAGGAAGCCAGCUUCAAGCAGUACUCUCACCGCUUCAAGCGGGUAAGAUCACGGCAAGAACAGCCGUUUGAUAGGCAUCAAGUGUAAGUGCAGUAAUGUAUUCAGCUGAGAUGUACUAAUAGGUCGAGGGC